rnacentral:lncRNA from 1 species
AUGGCUGGUGCUGGCACGCACUGUAAACGAGGAGGGGAUGGGCCUAAGUUUCCAUCACGCUGCAAAGCAGAACCAUCUGUUGGUGGCUUCUCUGUUAGCCCGUGGCUGUGAAGAGAGCAUUUAACAAUGAAGAGCUGGGGCCAGAGACACGAGUCCUUGGCUCCAGUUCCUGUUUGUCUCCAGGCUGCCGCAUUCCACAGAAGGCAGUAAACUGACAUUCUGAGAAUGUUUGUCUCUGCCAGCCAGGGCUUGGCUAAUCCUGGUGACCUGCAGCAGAUUCCCCACCAAGAAGACAUCCAGUGGAAAGACAGAACUUCCAGUCUAUGCUGAGUAAGAGUGAUGAGAGCAGACAUCCUGCCUUUGUUCCUAAUCUUAGGAGGAAAGCAUUCAAUCUUUCACAGAUAAUAAUUUCCACUAGAACUUUGGGGAGCUCAGCAGAUGCAAUUGGAUUUUUUUGUCCAAACUAAUGACUUGUUUCUGGAAAGAAAACUGUUACCAUCAACGGGAUUCUUUUUCUUUUUUAAAACAUUAUACAGUGUUUGGUUCAGGCCAGCGGUGUGGGAUGGGAUUUAGUCUCCGGAUUUGCCAAGAUGUUUAUGCAGCAGGAAUGUUACUUAUGUAAGCCUGGAAGCGCUCCUGAUGUGCUAUAGCCUCCUCUUCCAUCACAGCUUUUUUUCAUUAAGAAGUUGAUCUUCCUUUCAUGAUACCACAUUAAGUGGCUGAAAGGAAAAGAAAAAAAUUGUUUACUGUACUAAAUAACCUAACUCUCCGCAAAGCAUCCAUUUGGUUAAAGGAACUGCAAGGAGCUCUGGAAAACGGGGCUGAGAAUUGUUUUGAUGCUCUCAGCUUGGCCCCUCACUCACUUCCUGUUGCUCUCUAGUUGCAAUCAAACUCAUAUGUGGGAAAAUAGAAAAUGCUUUUAAAAGAAAAGAAAGAUGAAUUCACAAACAAGCAAAACACCCUCUUUUACAUUUUUUCUGGGGACUGAAAUUUCCAUGUAAUGGAAAAGUGUCAAAUGAGAGAAAUCAUCAACGCUAAACAUGAAUGAAACACAAAUAAAAGCUAUAUGUGAGAAGCUAAGGAAGAAAAGGGUUAAACUCACCCUGCCACAGAUGAGUAAAUAUCUACAUGUUUAUAUAACCAACCAACAAACUCACUGAGAGCAAACAGGACAUUGUGAGGUGAAAACAGAGCUGUGAAAGUCGGACACUCCCAGCCCUCCCGGCUUAUCUCAUCCUCUGCUUUUCUGUGGAUGCUGCCCUAUGAGUCAGACGAGAUGAGAAACUUUAAUCAUUCUAAGCAGAUGUGUAUCAGCACUCUCUGAUAAAAGCAUGCCAGCACACUGCACCAGUCUGUAUCGGCACCCAUCCUCCAACAAAGCAAUGGUCCCUCAACCAAGACGGUAACAGCUCAGGUUAGACUAGCCCAGCGACCCCUCCCUGGGCUGUUCUGUGACAUCAGCAGUGCAGAGACGGAGAUUCUUCGCAGAGGGUCCUAGGCUGGGCUUGAAGCAUCAGUAGGUGUUUACCUUCUGCCCGUAGCUGUAUGAACUUUCUGAAUGUUGGAGGUGUGCUGCUACGUUGACGUGGUUUUCACGUGUGGGCAGUGAGUGAGGCUAGGGCCACAGUCCUGAGAAGUGGCCUCUUGCUUGAAAAAAACUGUCAUUUUCAUUGGACAAGAGGUGCAGCCUCAGCCCAGAAACAUCAUGGGGGUGGGAGUCCCUAUUAUUUCUUCCUUAAUUAUCUCUCCAACUAAUAUUGAGCAGCUAGAUACUGGCAGGGCUGCCACAUACGGCUGUGCAAGCUGCAUACUGGACAAGGGUGCUGUAUCCGAGACAUUAUUCCCACGGUAGCUGUCAUAGAUUUGCAUGUUUAUUGUGUUGAUUUUCUGGAGGACACCAGGAAAGUACCUUGAAUCAGGAAGUCCUGUUCCCAAGUUUCAUAAAAGAGCUAUAUGUGCUUGAGGGACUGUGUGCACAGGGCUGGGUGUGCAGAUCCAAAGAUGCAGGGGAGCACAGGAGCCUUCCAGGGUUCUGGAUUUUGUUGUAUGUGCACCAAGGCCAAGGGGGCUAGGUGGCGAGGACCCUGCAGGAUCUCCUGGGAUCAAGGAAAGAGGAGGACCCUGGCCUCCCAGGACCAGGCCCCUAAAACAAGUCAUAUAUAUUGGACAGUCUGUUGAGUGGCACUACCCUAUAGAAACACAACGUGAGCUGUAAAUACCAGCCACGUGUCAUUUCAAAGCUUCUGGUAGCCAUAUUUUUAAAGUGAAAAGAAACAGAUUCUAAUGUAUAUAUUAUCUAUUAUGUUAGAUAUAUU